ensembl:lncRNA
UUAUGACAGUGUCAGUGCUUAGAUAGCUGCCAUUUCUCUAUAGAAAAUUCUGCUAUGAAUAAGUUAAAGACUCAUUAACUCAGAAAUUUGCAAAAAGACAUCUAGCACAUUCCGGAGACUGGAAAAUAUAGAAAUAUGUAAAGAGUAAUUACAGAUUCCCCAAGCUCUGGAACAGGAGGUCCUGAUUCAUUCAUGCUGAUAUAUUUAAGAAACCAUUUAAUUUUAAGGAAAUUGAAUUAUUCAGGAAUAAAAAGUGAGAAGACUGACACAAGUAUUACAAUUCCAUCUCUAGCAUAAGAAAUUUUCCCUUGAUUUUGAGAUAUUUUAUAUACCCUACAAUGUACUGAUUCCUAAGAUGACCCAGAGCUAUCUAGGAAAUAAGAAUUCUAUUUAUUUCCUGACUAUUUUUGAAGUUUAAUUUCAUUCCAUCUCAGAAAAAAUUUGAGUUCUUUUGUGAUUUUUUUAUAAAAAAAGGCAGGAAGAGUAUAAUAUGGACAGGCCUGCAGCAGCUCAGUAAAAAAGUUGUUCUAAGAUAAUAUAAAUACUUUCACUGAAAGUUUCUCUUCCAAAGCAAACUAUAUGGAUUAAUAAUAUCAGCAUGUCAAACAAGUCUUUGUGCCUCCAUGUGCAUUUUCACUUUGGACCUCCUCCAGAUUUUCAUUCAUUGUCAAUUGUCAUCACAUAUUUAUUGAUUAAGACACAGUUAAGUUUUAAACCACUGAAACUUCCCUUGUAGUUAAAAUAAUUUAAUCAUAUUGCAAAAACAUUUAAUUAUAAGAGUUAUUUGCUCCUUAAAUGGCUGGUCUCUAAAAGAAAGAAGAGGAGAUAAUUACUGUGAAUUAUUAUUAUAUUUCAUAUUAUUAUUUGUUAUUAUUUUUUUGCUAUUUUAUGUGUAAAUCCUUCAAUCUUUUGUUAUAUUUCAGUCUAGUUCUAUCUGCAAACAUAUUCAUUGUUUGUCUUGAAAAAUUUGCUGCAGCAAAAUAAAUAAUCUUUUUCCUUCAGUUCAUGAAUGAGAUUCUAACAGUGGUGCUAAAAGCCCCAAAAACUCAUUUGCAUGAUGAAAACACAUUCUAUUAAAAAAUAUCUACUUUAUAAAAGCUUUUUUAUCUAAGCACGUCAACCAAAGCUACCUUAUUUGCUGGGAGGUGGUGGAAUGUCAUCAUUCAGUAUAUAUAUAUGAGCUGCUCCAGUUUCUCUGUGAUGAAUAACCUUAGGUGGGCUUGUUGUAGACAGAUAAACAAUACUCCAAACUAGGAAGGGUAAACUCCAAAGAUGUGUAGCCAGUGCAUAUUAUUUCAAUCAUUUUAGAACUGUAGCCAUCAAGCACAAAAACACUUCAAAAAGAUCUCAAGUUCAUUUUAGAAUAAAAUUGAGUGUUGAACAGAUGAGUUUGACGAAGUGAACACUUUAAGAAAUUUUGUUAUGUCUUCUACGGGUGCACAAGAGAAUGUGCCCAUAUAGGGAUGAAAGUAAUUUAUAUCAUAGCACGACUUAUUAAACAAACUAUCCACAAGUAAAACAUAAAUUUAUAAACUGCAUUUAUGAACCACAGAGUAUUAUCCAGCCCAACAACUCCUCUCCCUGUACUGUUUUUGAGAGGUUGAUGGUUUUUUAUGUGAGAAAUGCAAAGCACUUUUAAGGAUUUCUUUUUUUGUAUUCAAAAGCAAUUACAUAGUAAGGAAUCGUUUAUUUUUUUACAUUUGUUUUUGGUUCAAAUGACCACAUCUGCCUUGACUAUGACAAUCUUAAAAUGUUAUCUGCUACAAUAAGGUCGAAAAAUUCAGAACAUGUGGAAAAUAGAAAUACAAGUUUUGUUUCAAUGUUUUUGGUACACUUUUUAAGUCAUGCUUAAGUGAAAGUGAUAUUGGGUGAACAUGAGACACUACUAGUAUUCAUUUUGGUAGAAAAAAUUCUAUACUGUAAUGUUUAGGAUGAAUGCUUAUGCUAGAAGAUUAAUAUGUCUGGGACUUUAUGUUAGAGAAAAAUAUGCCCUAAUGGUGUCCACUAUUGUAGAUAGUUUCUAAGCCAUGCUCUGAUGAGAGGAUGAAUGCAAUUUUUUUCAAAUGCUAUUUGAAGGCUGUUUAUAUAUUAUACAAAAUUUUAUAGUUAUCACUUGAAAUAUGCAAUUAUAAAUGAAGUACUUCCAUCUAGAAGAGGUUUUCCUUCUAGGAAAACACAGAAACACAAAACAAAACUACUGAAACAAUUUUAUUGACUUAAAAAAAAAAAAUGGAAUAGCACAGAAACAAAAAGGCAAUCAGAUAAAUUCAAGAAACAUCUUAAUAUAAUCAUGAUAAUUUUGAUACUUUUUUCCAUUUUUUAGCAGUAAGUAUGUAAGUUAGGAUAUUUUUUAAACUUCACAAGGUGAAAAAGAAGUUAUUUCUGCUUCUUUUAUUUAGAAAAGUAUGUGUGGAGAUGAGUGGAGUCAAGAAGACCUAAAUAGUAAUCCUGAUAUUAAAAACACUAACUCUUCAUGACCCCAGGGGCCAGCCAGACAAAAGACUGCUAUGCAGCAUCAGUGAGACACAGCCACAGUGCUGGGACCUGUCUGGGCAUCUCAGUUCAAAAAAGACAUGUGAAUACUGGAGUUGAUCCAGCAGAAGUCCACAAAGGUGAUGAAAGAACUGGAGUAUUGUAAUUUGGGGACAGGUUGAGUGAAUUUCAACUGCGAAGUCUAGAGAGGAGAAGACUCGGAAGGAAGCUCAUCAGUGUGUACAAAAGCAUCUAUGUGAGGAAGUGAAAAAAUUGGAGCCCUAUUUUUCUCAGUGGUGUCCAGUAUCAGGACAAGAGGCAUACUGAAAUACAGAAUAUUUCAUUUAAGAAUAAGAAAAAAAUAUUACUCUAAGGAUGAUCAAACACUGGAACAAAUUGCCCAAAUGAAUUACUGACUCACCAACUGGA